rnacentral:rRNA from 1 species
GACGAACGCUGGCGGCGUGCUUAACACAUGCAAGUAGAACGCUGAAGGAGGAGCUUGCUCUUCUGGAUGAGUUGCGAACGGGUGAGUAACGCGUAGGUAACCUGCCUGGUAGCGGGGGAUAACUAUUGGAAACGAUAGCUAAUACCGCAUAAGAGUAGAUGUCGCAUGACAUUUGCUUAAAAGGUGCAAUUGCAUCACUACCAGAUGGACCUGCGUUGUAUUAGCUAGUUGGUGAGGUAACGGCUCACCAAGGCAACGAUACAUAGCCGACCUGAGAGGAUGACCAGCCACACUGGAACUGAGACACGGUCCAGGCUCCUACGGGAGGCAGCAGUGGGGAAUAUUGCACAAUGGGCGCAAGCCUGAUGCAGCCAUGCCGCGUGUAUGAAGAAGGCCUUCGGGUUGUAAAGUACUUUCAGCGGGGAGGAAGGGAGUAAAGUUAAUACCUUUGCUCAUUGACGUUACCCGCAGAAGAAGCACCGGCUAACUCCGUGCCAGCAGCCGCGGUAAUACGGAGGGUGCAAGCGUUAAUCGGAAUUACUGGGCGUAAAGCGCACGCAGGCGGUUUGUUAAGUCAGUUGUGAAAUCCCCGGGCUCAACCUGGGAACUGCAUCUGUGACUGCAUAGCUAGAGUACGGUAGAGGGGGAUGGAAUUCCGCGUGUAGCAGUGAAAUGCGUAGAUAUGCGGAGGAACACCGAUGGCGAAGGCAAUCCCCUGGACCUGUACUGACGCUCAUGCACGAAAGCGUGGGGAGCAAACAGG